UUGGUAUUAGCCAACCCAAGCUACAGAGUUGAGAGAUGGAGAAGAACAGGAGGAAAAGGAGAGUGUUUUUGGCAAAAGAAAUGGCAUUCCCAAAGGCCCACACUGAAGAUAAAGCUUAGCAGUCCAGGCACUGAAAUUUCAGAGCAGCUGGGGUGUAGACAGUGAAAGAAAUUGGAAGGAACAGAUUAAAGAGUGGAUUACUUCAAGCACUAUAAAGGUCUCUAGACUGACCCCACUCUUAGAGGGAGCUCUUUCAGAGGAAUAAUGCUAUAAAGAACAGUGAAAGCCCCAAAAAACCCACAGCUGAGCCCUUCAGAGGGCCCCAUUCACAGUCACCAUUGACUGCCCUGGCCUCUCUGAGGGGAUUCAAUAUAAUUCACUGCCCACCAGAAUACUGAAUUCACAACAGAGAGGAAAAAAAAAACUGAUGGUGCUGCUUUGCAUCUGUUUAAAUUUUUACAGAAAUGUUAAGGGAGUUAAUCUUCUACAAGUCCAGUCAUGUGCUUUCACAAAGGGCCAAGAAAGGAGUCCCAAAGCUCGCCAUGACUCAACAGGAAGCUCUUUGUGUCUUCCUUUCUACACCAUGUCUGACAAAGAAGCUGUCUUAAGUUCAUGGGCCUCUGUCUCUUGCGUGAAUUCUGAAGUCAGUGAAGCAACAAUGAUGUCAUUGCUUCUGAAGACCACUGUUGGCUGAGAUAAUGAAGAUCUCUUCACCCAAAACAUUGCCAUUUCUGCAGCAUACAUUUCCUACCCUUUCAAAUACAAAAGUAUUCUACCGAUUGAGGGGGGUGAUGUAUGUUUAUUUUUUGCAUUAUUCAAAAGAAGUCAUACUGAAGCAUGUUUCCCUCUCACCAAAACAUCUUCUAAAACUGAACUAGUAAAUACCACUACACUAAAAUAGUUGAUUCAUACACUUGAAAGGAAACCAAAAGUUAUGCUUUUGAAAUUAGAUAUAUUAUUCAAUUAAUAUUCUGAUACUAAAUGUCCAGUAGUUUCAUAGGCAACAUAUGGUAUGACGUGAAUAAAAUCCAUUUCUCACCCUUUUAGUCUCCAACAUAUACGCACAUUUGGCUUUUUUUUUUUUUGGAGAUGGAGUUUCACUCUUGUUGCCCAGGCUGAGUGCAGUGGCACGAUCUCGACUCACUGCAACCUCCGCCUCCUGGGUGCAAGCUAUUCUCCUGCCUCAGCCUCUGGAGUAGCUAGGAUUACAGGCAUGUGCCACUACACCUGGCUAAUUUUUGUAUUUUUAGUAGAGAUGGGGUUUCACCAUGUCGAUCAGGCUGGUCUCAAACUCCUGACCUCAGGUGAUCCACCUGCCUCGGCCUCCCAAAGUGCUGAGAUUACAGGUGGGAGCCCAGCUGCACAUAUGGCAAAAGCAAAUUAGAUUAUCUAAAGAAUAUCAAAUAGUUUAAAGGCAGUUAUUUCCACAAAUUUUAAAAAUGAUAGACUCCUUUGAAAACAACUCAAAUAUGGACAUAUUCAACUCAUAUAUCCAUAUAUGCAGUCUAGCAUGUAUAAGGACAAAAAAAGGCAAGGUUAAAAAAAUAAGUGUUUAGGCAAUUGGAAGUUCAGCAGAACCAAAAUAAUGAGUGUAUACUGGGGAGUGGCGUCCCUUAUGAAUAAUGAGAUAAAAUAGAUAAACUAUGGAAGUACCAGGCAAUGGAGGACAAAUAUAAAAAAUUUAUAUUUUAUCCAAUAGGGAGUUGGGAGCCACUAAACAUUUUUAGAUUAAUAAAUGACAAAGUAUUUCAGUUUACAACAAUGACUACAUCUUCAAUCAAAAGCAGCAAUCUCCAAAGCAGAGAUUGCAAACACAUACAACAACAUUUACUGGAGUAUGGGGAAAAAGAAUCUCUAUAGUUCUCUUUAUUACAGUCUUGAAAAUUUAUAGCUCCAUGAAAGUUCUACAAUACAUAGGAUGCAUGUUCCAUAAUGUAUAAAUGAUAGUAGUAUAUUUGUGUGUGUGUGUGUGUGUGCAUAUACACACGCAUGUGCUGUGGAUACAUGGUCCACAACAUUUGGUAACCUUCUAUCUCAAAAUGGAAUAGAGGGAGAUAGGUUUAGAAGCAGGAAAACAGUUUAGGAUACUGCUGCAGUAUUUGAAACAAAAAGUAUUAGGCUCUGAACGAAAGUGGAAACAACAGACCCUGGGCCAUUUUCUUGAGAGCUAUCUGGAUGUAAAAUUUGUGGGUACUGCUUACCAACUGGAUAAGGGUUGUGAAAAUCAGGAAGUUAACUGGGUGGAUGUUGGUUUCAUUUACUAAAACUGGAAUAUAAGAGGAAAGGAUAAAGAAGGAGUAGUCCAGAAACUGGUGGAGGGUUAGAAACAAACUCAAUGUUAGCCAGUCUGAGUCACAGGUAUCUGUGGAGGACCUUAAAGAGAGGUAAGGUAAGGAAAAAGCAAAUGUAACAGCACAGUUUUCUCAUCAAAGAUUUUAUUUAUUUUGCAAGUAAAUCAGAUAGGAGAAGCUAAAAAACAGAUUUCAAUGAAUUAAGAAUUAAAAACAUGAAGUAACAUAAUAACAUGGUAUAUGACAAAGUAUGAAAAUCAACAUAACUUGAUAUUUUAUAAGAACUAUAAAAUAUCAGGAAAAAAACUUUCAGAGAAAAAAAAGAAAUGAUGACACCCACACUGGAUAAUGAACACUAAGUGGAGGUGACAAGAAGACACUGCAGAUGCAGAAGGGAAUAUGACUAUAUUUACAGAAAGAACAAGCAGGGGAGACGAUGAGGAAGCCUAGCUAACUGCAUCCCACACUACAUCAGAGCAGGCAUCAUAUGCUCUCUUUUCCUUCCAUAAAGAUGGACACAUGACAUUACUUUUAAAGCACAUUAUGUUGGGGUAUUUAUAACUAUGAUGUAAUGACUUAAAUUUUAAAUAUUCUGCUUUCUGGAUUUACAAAAGUACUAAGUAAUAUAUAUAAAACAAAGAACCCUUAUUUUUGCUCCAUUUCUGAAUCUUAUACUCAGAGAUUAGGUAGGAGUCAGGGGAUAGCCUACGGAAUGCUGUUGCGCUUUUAUUUUAAAAUUUCUAAAAUUAAAAGUGAAAUGGUCAUAAUGAUCAUGAACAACCUCAAGUUAAAGCAGCCCCCAUAAAAAUGUCUGCCCUGAUUCUUAAAAUGGGCUCAGCCAAAUCCACUCCUUUUUCACAUUGGAGUUGACACAUUUCAUGCCCUCAUCACCUCUCACCUGGAUUAGUACUCCAGGGAAAAACACUCCAAGCUCUUUUCCCUGCCUCUACUCUCUCACUCCUCUCUAUACUCCAAGAGUGUAUUCUGCAUUCCACAUGAAUGGAAGACAGAUUUUCUAAAAUACAUAUUAUAGUACAUAACUUCUGUGAGUAUAUUUUUUUAAACUUGUAAAAUAGGGUUCUUCAUAAUCUGGCAUUAACCGUUCUUACCCGAGACAAAUAUAAGAAAAGUAUAUCAGCCGGGCGCAGUGGCUCACACCGUAAUCCUAGCACUUUGGGAGGCCGAGGUGGGUGGAUCAUGUAAGGUCAUGAGUUCGAGACCAGCCUGGCCAACAUGGUGAAACCUGUCUCUACCAAAAGUACAAUAAAUUAGCCAGGUGCCGUGGCGGGUGCUUGUAAUCCCAGCUACUCAGGAACCUAAGGCAGGAGAAUUGCUUGAACCAGGGAGGUGGAGGCUGCAGUGAGCUGAGAUUGCGCAACUGCAUUCCAGCCUGGGCGACAGGGUGAGACUCUAUUACACACACACACACACACACACACACACAAAGAAAGAAAAGUAUAUCAACUAUAGUUUUGGCUGUCGUAAGACAGGAAAAGGGGAGAGGAAAACAGGAGAGAAACUGUGAGCUGACUGCCCAUCUUGUGUAGGGCACCAUAUCAUUAGCAGCAUCUUGAGACACACAGAAGUUUAGUUUUAUAGAUGAGGCAGUGAUAUCUAAAGAGGCUUCCUAAAGUUCUGCAAGUGACAGAGCUGAUAAUUGCAGAGCUGUGAUUUGAACACAUGUCUUUCUGAUCACAAAACCUAUACUAGAGAAGACCAUGGAUAUUCAGUGAACAUACCUGAAGCUACAAAAAGAGCAUCCCUUGUAAACUAUGUAGGAUACAAUUUAAUGUAAAAAAAAAAUCACUACUGCAUUGUAGAAGAAGGAGACCCAAAACAACUGAUCAAAGAUAGUAAGGGAUAAGGAGCCUACACUGAGGUUAUCAGGAGACAAAAGAAAAUUUAAAGAAACAAUCUGCUAUGAAGUGUCAUCAUGAAGAGGACCAGGAAAAUAAGUCCUGAGAACAACAAUCUGUUGAAAUUUUUAGGUCUCUGCGGAAAACUAUUUAUAUAAAUUGCUGAGGAUGAGAGCCAUGUUGAGGGGGAGCUCUAUAACAGAUAAAGGGUGCAAAACAAAAAAUGUUCUUUAGAGAAAUGUGGUAACAAUGUUGAUAAAAUAAAAGUAUCUGCCAGGCGUGGUGGCUCACUUCUGUAAUCCCAGCACUUUGGGAGGCCAAGGCAGGUGGAUCACCUGAGGUCAGGAGGUCAAGACCAGCCUGGCCAACAUGGAGAAACCCCGUCUCUACUAAAAAUACAAAAAAUAAAUAAAUAAAUAAAAAUAGGUGGGCAUAGUAACGCACAACUGUAAUACCAGCUACUUGGGAGGCUGAGACAGGAGAAUUGCUUGAACCUGGGAAGCGGAGGUUGCAGUGAGCUGAGAUCGUGCCACUGCACUCCAGCCUGGGUGACAGAGUGAGACUCCAUCUAAAAUAAAUAAAUAAAUACAUACAUACAUAAAUAAAAGUAUCUACAAAGGAUGAAAGGACCCAAAUUCAACCAGAUAUUUAUGAAGACAAAGGACACUUUUAUCAUCUUGAAGACUCAUGCACAUCUUUAUGAAAGUUCAUAAGAUGAAAACAAAAGAGAAAGAAACGUGUGACACCAGUGACUAAGUAAGCAAGUUCUACAUCCUAAAUCUGGAGGACCCCACAAACUACCUCUUCUGUGCUAUGCAUCCCACUCCUGAGUCCCAUUCAACCCCUACCCUCCAACAGUGAAAAGAAUACAGCCCGGAGACUUCAUUACACAGUCUGGGUUUGAUAACCAGACAUCUAAGGUGAUAAGUGCAAUUUCAGAUUACCUUUCUUGUAAUUUUCAUCUACAAAUUGCAGAGAAUCUUUGACAGUACAGGCCUUCUUCUAUGUCACACUAGUUGUUCUACUUCAUUUUUCACCUUCCCUAAAAAUUUUAGUUGAGAGCUUUUUUGUUCAGUUUUAAAAGUACUUGCAAAGCUUUCACUUUAUUAUCUAAUUAAAAAUGUGGAGAAAAUGUUUAAGUUAUUUUUCUGGCCAUGCGUGAGCCAUCAGAAUCUGAGCACUUUGUGAGGCUUUGGUGGGAGGAUUGCUUGAGACCGGGAGUUUGAGACCAGC
rnacentral:lncRNA from 10 species